rnacentral:rRNA from 1 species
UACAGAGGGUGCGAGCGUUAAUCGGAAUUACUGGGCGUAAAGGGCUCGUAGGCGGCCAACUAAGUCGGAUGUGAAAUCCCCAGGCUUAACCUGGGAAUUGCAUCCGAUACUGGAUGGCUUGAAUCCGGGAGAGGGAUGCGGAAUUCCAGGUGUAGCGGUGAAAUGCGUAGAUAUCUGGAGGAACACCGGUGGCGAAGGCGGCAUCCUGGACCGGCAUUGACGCUGAGGAGCGAAAGCCAGGGGAGCAAACGGG